rnacentral:pre_miRNA from 1 species
GAGGGGGAGGACGGGAGGAACGGAAGGCGGGGUUUGUCCAGUCCUCACUCCUCUCCUCCCGUCUUCUCCCUCU